rnacentral:rRNA from 1 species
AACGAACGCUGGCGGCAUGCCUAACACAUGCAAGUCGAACGAGACCUUCGGGUCUAGUGGCGCACGGGUGCGUAACGCGUGGGAACCUGCCCUUAGGUUCGGAAUAACUCCCCGAAAGGGGUGCUAAUACCGGAUAAUGUCUUCGGACCAAAGAUUUAUCGCCUUUGGAUGGGCCCGCGUUGGAUUAGCUAGUUGGUAGGGUAAAAGCCUACCAAGGCGACGAUCCAUAGCUGGUCUGAGAGGAUGAUCAGCCACACUGGGACUGAGACACGGCCCAGACUCCUACGGGAGGCAGCAGUGGGGAAUAUUUGACAAUGGGCGAAAGCCUGAUCCAGCAAUGCCGCGUGAGUGAUGAAGGCCUUAGGGUUGUAAAGCUCUUUUACCCGGGAUGAUAAUGACAGUACCGGGAGAAUAAGCUCCGGCUAACUCCGUA